rnacentral:rRNA from 1 species
GACAGAGGGUGCAAGCGUUGUUCGGAAUCAUUGGGCGUAAAGCGCGCGUAGGCGGCUAUGUAAGUCGGACGUGAAAGCCCAGGGCUCAACCCUGGAAGUGCAUCCGAAACUGUAUAGCUUGAGUGCCGGAGAGGGUGGUGGAAUUCCUGGUGUAGAGGUGAAAUUCGUAGAUAUCAGGAGGAACACCCGUGGCGAAGGCGACCACCUGGACGGUAACUGACGCUGAGGCGCGAAAGCGUGGGUAGCAAACAGG